rnacentral:lncRNA from 1 species
GGUGCAGCCGAAACAAACCUGACACUCUGCUGUCCGUAGAAAGAUGCAGAAAUUAUUUCGGUGUCCGGUUAUUACAUCAAUAUGCUAACGUCACCUCUCUCUCUGUGAAGUGUUGCACAAGCACGUCAGCACCCACUAAUUCCUACGAAUUAAAGAUAUUUCUAAAAUAUGCCAGACCACGACACAAAUUAUGUCAUGACCUUUCCUCUGGAAAUGGCGUAGUAGCCCUCACUAUGUAAAAAUGAUAUGUGCGAAGCAUGUCAUUUUUUAAAAUCGCAUUGAUACCGUUUCACCUGCAUCACAAUGCAUUCAGCCGGAGCUUCCAAUUGUGUAUUGUUGUCUUGUGUCUUUUGUAUACCAAUAACAACUGCUCCUGCGGAAACACACACGUCAACUUCACGCAGACUUUAGGGACGAACAGAAUCUCUUAUCUAGGUUCUUGCGUCUAGCAUGAAAAAAAAUUGAACAUAAUGAAACCACUGUUUUUUUUCAAGGGAAUUACACCGCUGGAUCCUGUUUCGCAUUUUUCCGUACCUGCAGAUAACAUAGUGAAAGAAGUGUGGCAAUUUUUCGAAUCUACACAUCAUUUCUAAAGAAAUGCCGAUGGUCCCUUGAUCUCCUUGAGGCACAAGUUGUCUUCUCUCAGCUCCUUCCUCUGAGAACGGCGUUGCGUAUCUGUGUUUCCACAACCUACAAAACUAUAGGAAGGUGUGAUGUGCACUAUGUAGAUUCUUCGACACAAUAUGAAUGCAUGCAUCUUGCUGUGAUUUGGAAAUACCGAUUAAAGGAACUUUAGUAAUCCUUCACUGGUGCAAUUGAAAGUGCCGCGCGUCUGUUCAAGUGUGCUUUUGUGCGACCAACUUUAAGAAAGCUUGUAUACCACGCGUUCAGCUACGGUUAACAAUGUGCUAACAACGCCAUGGUCGUUAAUGUGUUCUCUUUGAGCGCUGAACGCAUGGCAAUUAAGGCAUAGUUCUGAAGUCAGUCUUUUGUGGAAAGUGCCAGUUCAAAAUAUGCGCGUCGUAUUGAUCACCUUGAGCAAGAUUUGACGUAAAUGCAAUCGUCAGGUCAUUGUAAUAUCUGACGUCCUAGCAAAUUAUCUGUGUGGCGCAGUGUUCUGAGGUCACGACGACUUCCCACUGUGUCUAAGCACGUGCACCGGCUUGUUCUUGCAAUUGGAAUUUUUACAUGCACUUGCAACUUGGCCUCAAAUGGUUCAUGAUUUCCUUUUAGAACCCAAGUGACGACGAUUGCUAGCACAUUCACUCACACACACCAAGAUUCUCCCUACUUCAAAACAAGUGAUUAAAAUGUUCGUUUUCAAAGUCUUGAUGUCGAAUUGAAAACAAGGAAGACUCAAAAUCAAAGUUUAUAAUUAAAUAGCUUUAGUAACAAAAAUACAAUACACAAUAAUCAUGCAAAAAUGGUCCAAACAAGCAGUAACAUAUUCAAUGGUUAUGAAUGAAAAAAAGGUAGCACUUGUAAAUUAUAUAACAAAACAAACAUAUCGGCACGACCCAAAAAUAAUGAAAAGCAAAUGAUUAUUGAUAGAGAAAAGGCGUUAGUAAUGAGUUCAAAGAAUACACAAACUCAGUUGGAUUCAUAGGUCACUGGGAACAUUA